rnacentral:lncRNA from 1 species
UUAGACUUAACAGUAGAUUUUAUUAUUCAUUAUCCAUAUAGCAAGCACAUGACUAAAGAUAUAGUCACUAGUCUUGAGUUUCAGUAUCUGUCAUUUUAUGCACAUCACUGCUCAGUUUCAAAUUUGUGUGACGUAUUCUAAUAAUUUCAGACCUACACUGGAGGUACUUUGCAACUCAUAUAGUUUGCCAUUCCACAGUCAGUGUGAGAUUGCAAGGCCCAGUUCUCAGCUCAAGGUCCAGUGGAGCUACUGAUUUAUCCCAGCUGUAGAUUUGAAUCUGUUGACAUGAUGAAUUAUUGUUGAUCCCAAUGCAAGUUUCUAGUUGUAUAUUAUGAACAUUACAGUAUAUGACCCUAUGUAGAUCCUGAGUCAUAGCCAUUUAGUUAACUGAAAAACCCCAAAUGUUUACUUCUAGCAGUGCUGCUGAGCCAUUAACUGUGAUUAUUAUUAAACUGCAGUAAAAACCCCUAUGUUUUAGUGUGCUUAUACAUUCACAGAAAAAAUGCUAAGACCCUGAUUUUCCAAGAUCUUCAUUGCUGUUGAUGAUUAAUGGCAAGUGACAGUCAGCUGAAAGAACAAAGCAAGAUUUUCAAAUAUCUGACAGAGUAUAAAGAACUGGCAAAUCUUAAAUUCUCUCCUGCUGUCAGAUAUCAUACUUCUAUUUGGACUACAUUUUGUGCAUUUCACAAAAUUAACUAAAAUACCAAAUCAUACAGAUUUAAGAACAUACUUCGAUAAAACUGAUGCAUAUCUGGAUGCUGAUAAUUUUGAAUAUAUUAAGACAACAUCAUAUUGAGCUCAUUAACAUUCAUAUUUGCAAACAUCCCACAGGCCAAAGAAAACAAAAAACUAAUAAAUGUACUGAGAAAACCCAUACCUCAGUAUGAAAUCCUGACCCCUUCUCCAACUAAGUACACACAGUCCAAAUACACUGAGAAUGCCAAGCUACAGGGGCCCCUCUGUGGGGAAACCUGUAAUUCAGUCAGCAGCAUCCGUCAGCCAAAAUAGAAGUUGUAGGGACAGAUGCUAGAGAGAGGAUGACACUUUAAAGUGGCGGUUGAUUUCAGAACGAGUGUGUGCUUCUGUACACAAUUCAGUCAAUGCCACACUUGUACUGGUGCAAUGUUUCACCUGGAUUUAUGUGCAGCACACAACUAUCACUCUAGGGUCGUUUUAGUGUAGGUUAUGGUGCUAAUUGGGCUCCCCAUCCUGCAGCCUACCCUGACUAGGCCACUUGAUGUCACAUCUCCCAGCAGGGUCACCCAAGGCAGCGAAGGAGAAAACAAGUGUGUUAUACAACUCCCUCGACUUCUGCAGCAAAGAAAUUCUGUCACACUUGGGAAACAAUUGCCAGCUUAAAAUCCACAGAUCUUGGCCUCAGGCUUGUUUAGGCAGCACCAUGCCGGUGCCUCUGACCAGUGCCACAUUCCCACCGUUUUGGGACACCCCUGCAGGCAGCAGCAGACAGGUUUGAAGGCUGGGUAAAGGCAAUCGGGAAACUGCCACGUCCAUUUUGCUUCUUGUCCACGGUGGCCUGGAUGUUAACAUGCUAAAGCCAGAGCUAAAACGGCGUUUCAGCUAGCUUACAGGGGAAAGCGGUGUGACAAGCAGCUGCUUCCGAGGGGAACGGCUGCCGCAGUCGUCCAGCCGGGGCCUCUUUAUAAACUGAGAAGCUGGUUUCGCCCCACGCACACACGGCGGGGCCGUAGCUUUUGAGCCGGCCACCGCUGUAGUUGUGUCGCGGCAGCGCUGCUGGGGCCGAGGGCCAGGCCCAGCGCACCCGAGGGGCUCGGCAGAGCCGCCGGCUGGGACCGCUCGGUGCCGGCGUGCCCAGGGACGGCCGGGCAUGGAGGCGGCCGAGCGGCAAGCGCAGGUGGGCCGGCACCUCUGCCGCUCCCCGGGGCACAGACUCGAACGGCCGCGGUUUCCAUGGCGACGCC